GCUUUCGGGGUAUAGUAUUAGCACGCUCGACACGUAUUCGAGAGGUCCGUGGUUCGAAUCCCGGCGAGGGCA
rnacentral:tRNA from 1 species